AUGGAUGAUAGUAUAUAUCAGCACUUCUCAAAGUCCGGACUCCGGUCCGGAUCCGGACCCGGAGGGAAGUCAAUCCGGACCCGCCUCCAUUUCGUAUUUCAACCAUAGACUGUAAUAAAAUAUGGACGUAGUGUCCGUGACGUCACCCGUAGUUUUGUGAAGAGCAGUUUUGAAGCCUAAAGUGGGCGGAGCCAACCGUCGCCAUUUUUGGCAGCGCGUCAACGCACGUCACUCCUGGAUAAACAGAAAUGGGCAAAGAGGCGGGAUGAGCUCAGCGAGGAGCCUGGAUGCUGAAACCUGAAACCUAGCUCGAAGUGAACAACUUUGCUCAGGCUAAGCUAAUGCUAUAUGCUACUGGCCUCCCACUAAUUGACUAACAACAGCUGACUUGAAGUAAAGCCAAAAGUUAAAGUUCAUGUUUUUGCCCUUCGAAAUACUAUUAAGACAUAGCUAAACGUGAGACUGUGUAUCGUGAUGCUGUAUUAUUCUGCUAGUUAAAGUGAGCUUGUGUUUCAUGCACAAACAUGUCAUAUCAGCCAGCACGGCAUUGCACAUCAAGUUCAUAGAGAGCUUUAUUCAGUCCAUUUUAAAAUGUAUUUUAAAAUUUUCUUUUGGCUGCCUCUCAAAUCGGUGAAACCAUAUUUAUCACCUAAGAAGUUCAAGUAAAUGCGCUAGAAAUCCGUGCUCAUUCAGGUGUGCAUUAGUUUAUUGCAUGGACGUGUGUGGAGGGAGAAACAGGAGGAGGACAGGGAGCUGGCACCGGUGCUACAGUGGGUCCGCGAGGGCCAACGACCGCCGAGAGAGGAGGUGGCACCCCUCUCACCAACAACAAAGAGACUGUGGGCUAGUUUUAACACUUUGAGGCUGGCGGAGGGGGUCCUACAGAGGGGAUGGAAGACUCCAGCAACGGGAGAGGUCAUCUGGCAGCAGGCCUGUGAUGGGGGAAGCGAUGUUGGAGAACCCCCUCACGAACCUGCGGUAGUUGGAGGCCAGUCCCAGGAAGCUCUUGACCUGCUGCUUUGUUGUUGGGACGGGCCAGUCUCUGACAGCCUCCACUUUGUCAGGCAUGGUGCUGAUGCCCUUCUCCCCUACGCGAUGCCAGAGGAACGUGACGCAUGAAGUGGCAUUUCUCAGGGUGCAGUUUCAGACCUGCCGCCGUCACCCUCUCCAGCACUCUCCUCAGUGCCCCCAGUGCCUCUUCAAAGGAGAUCCCAUGGGCGAGGAUGUCAUCUAGAUACACCAGACACUGUUGGCUGGGGACGUCUGACAGCACACGGUCCAUGAGGCGUUCAAAUGUGGCAGGUGCAUUGCACAGCCCAAAACACAACACCUUGAACUGCCAGUGGCCACGGUGAGUAGAAAACGCGGUUUUGGCCCGUGCUUCCGGAGCGAGAGGUACCUGCCAG
ensembl:lncRNA